UACGUAGGGGGCAAGCGUUGUCCGGAAUCAUUGGGCGUAAAGCGCGUGUAGGCGGUCCGGUAAGUCCGCUGUGAAAGUCGGGGGCUCAACCCUCGGAUGCCGGUGGAUACUGUCGGGCUUGAGUACGGAAGAGGCGAGUGGAAUUCCUGGUGUAGCGGUGAAAUGCGUAGAUAUCUGGAGGAACACCGGUGGCGAAGGCGGCAUCCUGGACCGAUACUGACGCUGAGGAGCGAAAGCCAGGGGAGCAAACGGG
rnacentral:rRNA from 1 species